GCACGAUAAGGCUCCGCAGGGGAUGUGGGACCCUUACUGGAACGUUGGGUAUGCGUUAGGCCCCAGCAGCGCUCCAGUCGACCACUGAAAGCAGGGCAUGCCUCUGUGAUGCUUGGUUUGUUUCCCACACAGUGAGAGGAAAACCUUCCUGAGCCUGCCCAGCAAACCUCCCUGUGCCCCUGCCAGCCCCGCCCCACCGCUGUUUUCCAGACUGAAGCUUCAGAGUCCCCAGGGCUCCGUUCAGGACGCACAGAAACCUCCUGCACCUUGGUGAUGGCACAAAGGGACUGUUUGCUUACUUGUAGCCUGCAUGGCCGCCAAGAAGGAAGGCAGAGGUAGAGCACGUGGGCCUGUGGCGCUCCUGGGAGCUUUGGAGCUCAGACCAUCGAGUCAAACCCUUUCCAGAGCCUGAGGACAGGCUCGUCUGAACCAGUGAUCUUGAGGCAUGAACGAGAGAUCUUGCUCUGUUGGGACCGAGAACAAACUACGAGAUGG